rnacentral:tRNA from 2 species
GGUCGGGUGAUGGAACGGCAGACAUAAGGGAUUUAAAAUCCCUUGCGGGCAACCGCGUACGGGUUCAAGUCCCGUCCCGACCACCA